GCCCGAGACCGGAAGGGGACUAAUUUUCCGCCGGAAGGAGCGAGAAGUUGAGACCAGGAGCCAGACACCUGAUGCUGGCCCCUCUUGUCGCGUCAAGUUGGGCCAUUAUCCGGCCUCCUGUGGCGGCGGCGGCAGCGACGCUGUCCCGAUAGGCUGGCUGGUGUGGCAGGCGUCGGAGGAAUGGGAGUAGAAGACAUGGGUAUGAGUUCCCUGAAAGCAGGGAGCAGUUGUUUCCAUGCUCUGAGUAUUCAAAGAUUAUGCAGCCACAACCAUGCCUUUGAUAUGCAUAAUUCAAGGGGAGCAGACACAGGCCAGUGGUUGUAAUAUCACCACUUGAGUAUUAUGUCAAUGGUUUAUCAGCAGGUUGCAGCUGAGCAUGACCGUGAGCUGGAGUCCUGAGCUUUGACAGUGACAUGCGCAGGAUAUUGGAAAUGUGAACAGGGGAGCCAGGAAUGCAGCUGAUGGAGCCAGGUACCGUGGUCACUAAAUGGCACCUGAGAGCUGCUGGCUAGAGUGUGUUCUUCUCACUAGGACCCAGCUUUGACUUUGGUGGGCUGAUGAUUACUUUGAAACAUCAUAAAUAUACCACGUGUCAUUUAUUACUUGGUACUUAGGUUUGUUGUGAUGCCUCACAUCCCUGAGACAAAUACUUUUCCUUGUUUGAAGGGAAACAGAGGUCUAUACGGUUUUAGGUAAAGUAGGUACAAAAUAGAAAUCAGACCCAGUUCUUGGUUUCAAAUCUGGCUGCUUACAUUUUGUGACAAUAUCUAGAAUGAAUCAUCACUAAUGUUCUUUCUCAUAUCUCUAUCUAUCUCUGGCCCUUUCCUUAUCACAUAAGGAAAGCGCCCCAUUCACAAGUAGAUCGGAAGAGGACA